GCAUAUCAAUAAGCGGAGGAAAAGAAACCAACAGGGAUUGCCCCAGUAACGGCGAAGUGAAGCGGCAACAGCUCAAAUUUGAAAUCUGGCCCCAGGCCCGAGUUGUAAUUUGCAGAGGAUGCUUUUGGCGCGGUGCCUUCCGAGUUCCCUGGAACGGGACGCCAUAGAGGGUGAGAGCCCCGUACGGUUGGACACCAAGCCUUUGUAAAGCUCCUUCGACGAGUCGAGUAGUUUGGGAAUGCUGCUCAAAAUGGGAGGUAUAUUUCUUCUAAAGCUAAAUAUUGGCCAGAGACCGAUAGCGCACAAGUAGAGUGAUCGAAAGAUGAAAAGCACUUUGAAAAGAGGGUUAAACAGCACGUGAAAUUGUUGAAAGGGAAGCGCUUGUGACCAGACUUGCGCCCGGUGAAUCACCCAGCUCUCGCGGCUGGGGCACUUUGCCGGCACAGGCCAGCAUCAGCUUGCCGUCGGGGACAAAAGCUUCGGGAACGUAGCUCUCUUCGGGGAGUGUUAUAGCCCGUUGCAUAAUACCCUUCGGCGGGCUGAGGUACGCGCUCCGCAAGGAUGCUGGCGUAAUGGUCAUCAGCGACCCGUCUUGAAACACGGACCAAGGAGUCAACCUUAUGUGCGAGUGUUUGGGUGUUAAACCCCUACGCGUAAUGAAAGUGAACGCAGGUGAGAGCUUCGGCGCAUCAUCGACCGAUCCUGAUGUUCUCGGAUGGAUUUGAGUAAGAGCAUAUAGGGUUGGACCCGAAAGAAGGUGAACUAUGCGUGUAUAGGGUGAAGCCAGAGGAAACUCUGGUGGAGGCUCGCAGCGGUUCUGACGUGCAAAUCGAUCGUCAAAUAUGCGCAUGGGGGCGAAAGACUAAUCGAACCUUCUAGUAGCUGGUUUCCGCCGA
rnacentral:rRNA from 1 species